rnacentral:rRNA from 1 species
GAUGAACGCUAGCUACAGGCUUAACACAUGCAAGUCGCGGGGCAGCAUGGGGGUUGCUUGCAAUCCCCGAUGGCGACCGGCGCACGGGUGAGUAACGCGUAUCCAACCUGCCCUUCACCACGGGAUAACCCGGCGAAAGUCGGACUAAUACCGUAUGUUGUCCAUUGACGGCAUCCGAUUUGGACGAAAGGCUUGGGGGUGAGGGAUGGGGAUGCGUCCGAUUAGCCAGACGGCGGGGUAACGGCCCACCGUGGCUACGAUCGGUAGGGGUUCUGAGAGGAAGGUCCCCCACACUGGAACUGAGACACGGUCCAGACUCCUACGGGAGGCAGCAGUGAGGAAUAUUGGUCAAUGGGCGUAAGCCUGAACCAGCCAAGUAGCGUGCAGGAUGACGGCCCUAUGGGUUGUAAACUGCUUUUAUGCGGGGAUAAAGUGGCCCACGUGUGGGCUUUUGCAGGUACCGCAUGAAUAAGGACCGGCUAAUUCCGUG